UGACCUACAGUACAAGAAAUGCGAAUGGAAGGCCUCCAAGCAGGAGGAAAGCAACACUAAAUGGAAUCUGGACUUACAUGAAGACACGGGAAGGUAACCACAUAGGAGCCGGCUCCCUGUGUGUCUGUCCGCUCGCCCUCUGCUGCGUCCUGCGGCGUCCCACUGCCCUCCUACCGUCCACCAUGGCUCUGCUGCACUCCGGCCGCAUCCUCUCCGGGAUCGUCGCCGCCUUCCACCCGGGCCUCGCUGCCGCGGCCUCUGCCAGAGCCAGCUCCUGGUGGACCCGUGUAGAAAUGGGACCUCCAGAUCCCAUUCUGGGUGUCACUGAAGCCUUUAAGAGGGACACCAAUAGCAAAAAGAUGAAUCUGGGAGUUGGUGCCUACCGGGAUGAUAACGGAAAGCCUUACGUGCUGCCUAGCGUCCGCAAGGCAGAGGCCCAGAUUGCCGCAAAAAAUGUGGACAAGAAUACCUGCCCGUUGAGGGACUGGCUGAAUUUUGCAAGGCAUCUGCAAAACUAGCGCUGGGUGAGAACAGCGAAGUCUUGAAGAGUGGCUGGUUUGUCACUGUGCAGACCAUUUCUGGAGCUGGAGCCUUAAGGAUCGGAGCCAGUUUUCCUGCAGAGAUUAUUUAAGUUCAGCCGAGAUGUCUUUCCGCCCACACCAAGGUGGGAAAACCACACAUCCGUCUUCAGGGAUGCUGGCAUGCAGCUACGAGGUUAUCGGUAUUAUGACCCCAAGACUUGCGGUUUUGACUUCACAGGCGCUGUGGAGGAUAUUUCAAAAAUACCAGAGCAGAGUGUUCUUCUUCUGCGUGCCUGCGCCCACAAUCCCACGGGAGUGGACCCGCGUCCGGAACGGUGGAAGGAAAUAGAAACAGUGGCGAAGAAAAGGAAUCUUUUUGCGUUCUUUGACAUGGCCUACCAAGGCUUUGCCAGUGGUGAUGGUGAUAAGGAUGCCUGGGCUGUGUGCCCCUUCAUCAAACAGGGCAUUAAUGUUUGUCUCUGCCAAUCAUAUGCCAAGAACAUGGGCUUAUAUGGUGAGCGUGUAGGAGCCUUCACUAUGGUCUGCAAAGAUGCAGAUGAAGCCAAAAGGGUAGAGUCACAGUUGAAGAUCUUGAUCCAUCCCAUGUAUUCCAACCCUCCCCUCAAUGGGGCCCGGAUUGCUGCUGCCAUUCUGGACACCCCAGAUUUGCGAAAACAGUGGUUGCAAGAAGUAAAAGGCAUGGCCGAUGACAUCAUUGGCAUGUGGACUCAACUGGUCUCUGACCUCAAGAAGGAGGGUUCCACCCACAACUGGCAACACAUCACUGACCAAAUUGGCAUGUUCUGUUUCACAGGGUUAAAGCCUGAACAGGUGGAGUGACUGACCAAGGAGUUCUCCAUCUACAUGACCAAGGACGGCUGCAUCUCUGUGGCAGGAGUCACCUCCAGCAACAUAGGCUACCUUGCCCAUGGCAUUCACCAGGUCACCAAGUGAUGUCCCUGGUGCAAGGAAACAGAGACAACCUUUCUGUCUUCAGCCUCUGCUAUUGAGAGCUUCACACAGACGAUGAGAGAAGGUGGAUGGUGAUCACUACGGAUCUUUGGCAGAGAACGCUGUGGAACCAAUAAGGAGAUCCUGGGGACUGCCCAAUCUGUGGUCUGUCGGCUGCAAAGUUGACGCUUCCACCCUCACGAUAUCACAGAUGACAUCAAUGGUGCUGCGGUGAAAUUCCCAGUUAGAUCAAACCCUGAGGCUUUCAGAGACGUGAGGUACUGCACCAAGGUCACACUACUGCUCCUGUUCAAGUGACCUCACAGCUUUCUGAUGACCUCCACUGGCUGUGCCACAUUUCUGGUGCUGAAUGGAUGCACAACAAGUCACUACUUAUCUGGGC